UCUCUCAGUACCCUGCGCCGCUCUUCUCAGUACCCAUCCCGCAGACAGGAAAUGACGCAAUACCGCCGCUCUCAGUCCCCUCAGACCGGAAAUGUCGUCAACCCUUGCGACGAAAACAAGUUACGUUAUUUCACCUCUCGCGAAGAAAACACGGCAAGUGGCCGCACUGAAAAAAAGUUUUUAAAAGCGUAUGCAUGUUUAAAAAUGUUAAAUAGUUAAACAACACUUGCGGUGAAAAUAUGAAGUGUUUAUUCUGAGUUGAAAAGACCGUACUUAUAUCUAGUAUUCUUAAUGUAAUUUAAAUUAGGCUCGAGCGUAUGACGUGGCACUCGCGAGGUUUCCGCCGCUAUCGCCAUUGUGGAAGCGAGAAACAUAAGCAAUGAGGCAUUUCAACACAGGUCGCUCUUUAAAAAUGGUUGGAAAUUAUUGUGCGGUAAAGAAUUGCAACAACCGAUCGAAUAGAAAGGAGAAUGUACAGCUCGACGGAACACCAUUGAGUUUCUUCCGGAUCCCUACAUGGAGAAAAGGCGAGGGAAAGCUCAUAUCUGAACUUACCAAACGUCGAAGAAUGGCAUGGGUGGCCUCGAUCAGAAGGAAGGGCAUAACGUUUGAUUCUCCAGUUACACACUGAGUUUGCUCUAUGCACUUCCACUCCGCUCCAAGAUCACCACCCCAUUGGGAAGAAACUAAAUCACGACCCCCAAAUGGUAGUCUUCCCAUGCAGAUACAGGGAUGUCACACAGAUCCAAAUGGAAACAUCGAACACAGUAAAACCCACGUGGCAGACAGGACCAAUGGUGACAAUAUAAGACCAUGCCGAGCUUCAUGGACGGUUCAAACUCAUCCUGCCCAGGAACGGCUGAAAACGUUGACAGUCAAUCAACAGGGGGACAUGGAAAGAGGAUUGGAAGUGAAAUAGAGGGUUUUCCGGGACAGCCAUAGGGGAAGGACUGUGGCAUCUUCAUGUUGAUGGUAGACUGAUAUGCCAACUCUGAGGAAGUGGUGGUGUAUAUUGCUAGCGGACAAUUUCAAACUUGGGUGCAUGCCACAGGAAAGAGUUUGCCCAUUGGACAGAUGAGGCAAAAGCAUUACUGCAGGGUGAAGUGCCACCAGUCUAUCAGUUACAGAAGUGAAAUUUGAAUAUAAUUGCUGAGGAAGAGGUGCAACCACAGCUCCUUCAAGUUAGUGGUGGCCCACUCCAAAAAGAUAUGGCGGGAAAAAAUGUUUUGGUAAAAGGAUUGUGCAAGACAGCACAAAAGCCUCGGACAGGGCUAGGGGGGAAAAAAAUCAAUGCAGUAGGAGUUCCCAAGCAUCCUGCAGAUGGAAGAGGAUGAGCACGAACUACAAUGUCUUGGAGCCAUUCAAGUUCUGUUUCAACCAUCUGGAAGAUGGAUUUACCUUUUUUGAGGAGAUUGUUGACUAAAGAAAAUAUCUAUUCUCUCAAUAAUAAUAAAAAAUAAUAAAACUAAAAAAAUAAAGUUUACCACAUCAGAACUGGUUGUAUUGAGUUCAUUUUUCUACACUUAUAAAUGAGUUGUUUUUUUUCUUUUAUCCCAGAUGUUAGUUGUAGGUAGUUUUAAUUACCUGUGAUGAAGGCGGGAGUGCUUGCCGAAAAAUGUCAGGUAAUUAAAACAACCUACAACUAUUGUCUGGGAUAAAAGAAAAAAACAACUAACACAUGACAACUUUUGUCAUUUCUGUUUGAAAUAAAGGUGCCUUUCAUGGAGCAGAAAGUUUAAUAUAGUUUCUGAAUUAGUUAAUUAGGAUCUUCACCCACAUGAACGAAUUUAAGUAGCAAAAUGAAAGACAAAAUUGGUUUGGUUGCAACAUUGAGAGAAUAUUACGUUUUUGAUACAUUAAAUUGUAAUGAAGCUAUAUUAAUGUGUCCGUUCAUAAAAAUGUAAGGAUGACAGCAAUUUUGUAAUAAUUCUCAAUUGGAGUAUAUUUUACAAUUGACAAACUAAAGUACACACUGUGAUAGGUCACAGGCGAUCUUUCAGUCACUAAUUAAACCUUUAUUGCAGUAGUGUGUAUUUUAAUUUUGAUGUACUGUAACCGUGUUUUUCAUUUUGGUAAAAUCAGCAGGCUUUAACAAACUGACCGCGCUUAAAGAGUUAAUCUCCCGAUUACACCAAAUCAAUUCAAGGAGCAUGUAAAUAAAUUAUUAUUUAAAUAAUAAUGAGUGAUGCUGAAACCGAAAACAAAAGACGUGCGAAAAGAAAAGUAAACUAGUAUUUACG